rnacentral:tRNA from 2 species
GCGAGAGUGGCGGAAUGGCAGACGCGCCGGAUUUAGGAUCCGGUGGGCAACCGUGAGGGUUCAAAUCCCUCCUCUCGCACCA